rnacentral:rRNA from 1 species
ACGGGAGGCAGCAGUGGGGGAUAUUGCACAAUGGGGGAAACCCUGAUGCAGCAACGCCGCGUGAAGGAAGAAGGUCUUCGGAUUGUAAACUUUUGUCUUGUGGGAAGAUAGUGACGGUACCACAGGAGGAAGCUCCGGCUAACUACGUGCCAGCAGCCGCGGUAAUACGUAGGGAGCGAGCGUUGUCCGGAUUUACUGGGUGUAAAGGGUGCGUAGGCGGCUAGACAAGUCAGGUGUGAAAUACCGCAGCUCAACUGCGGGGCUGCACUUGAAACUGUAGAGCUUGAGUGAUGGAGAGGUAAGCGGAAUUCCUAGUGUAGCGGUAAAAUGCGUAGAUAUUAGGAGGAACACCAGUGGCGAAGGCGGCUUACUGGACAUUAACUGACGCUGAGGCACGAAAGCGUGGGGAGCAAACAGGAUUAGAUACCCUGGUA